UUAUCCACUCUUGGUGAGACAAUAUUGUUCACCUCCAGUGGAUAAAUCUUGAUAUUCAACGAACGGUCCUCCAAUAUCUGCUUAAUAUUUAGCAAUUCGAAGAAAAAUCCCUCAGGGGCUAAAAACAGGGCCUUAUUUCUUAUUUCUUAAAAUGUAUGCUACCAAUAUCGUAAGCAUUUUUUCUUUGUUCCUGUGCUUGUGAAUGCUGAGGUAAUUAGCUAACCUGCCAAAAAUCUAUAUAUUAAUACGCCUUGUGUGUGUGUGCGCACGGUGAGGCCACGUCACACAAAUCACAGGUCAUUUUCUUACGACGUGGCGUUACGCUAAAAUUUACCAAGUUAAAGAAAACGCAAAUCAGGGGGUUACUAUAUAAAUAUUUAAUUCUCUUUUCUUAUUUUUUUUUUUAAAUAAAACUCUUUUUCCUUACUCAUUAAAACUAAUUUUUAUUUUAAUUUCAAAUGGUUUAUUUGUUAUUUUGUUGUAAAAGCCCCGCUGGUCGUUUAAGAUAGAAUAAUUAAAUUUUACCCCCGGUUUACCAUGUGCGCGCCGUAUCUCACGGAAACAAAGUUUAUUAACUGAAAAAUGAAAACCGAAGCGAAGAAAGUUGUCUCUUUUUCAAAGUAAUCCUGAAAAAAGUUAUUUCAAACAAGGUUUACUCAUCACGAGAGCGACUGUUGAUGUCGAGCGAGAAUAAAAAAGUUUAUGUUGUUGCCAGAAAUAUUUGUUAUAAAGAAGAAAAACGUACGAUAAUAUAACGUCGAAAAGAGAACUGAUUAGAAAUGUAUCAGACAAUUGUAGCUAGCUAUACAUUUUAAUUUGUUUUCUUUGGGAUGAAGCGAAGUUUAAUAAUUGAAGUAAAAAACUGAUUGGUCUUUUAUCCAGAGACGCUAGCUAACUGAGAAAGCCAAAAAAAGGCAGGUGUGUUGUUUAGUUUAUCUGGUAAAGAGAUAAGUUUAGGUGUGUAACGUUUUUUUUUAACCGUUUUAACUUUCAGAGCUCAGCUUUUCCUUUAAAUUUUUAGUUCCUUGUUGAGUCUUAAAUGCGUUUUCUUUUGACACAAUUUUUAUAAGAAUCUAAAAUGUAAAGCGACGUUUUUAAGCCGUUUACACGCUUCCAGCUAAACUUUCCCUUUAAUAUAAAGUUAAAUAUGUUUUGUCUUUAGCCUGAACAUAUUUAACAUUUUUUGUAAGAAUAUACUCUAAACAAUGGGUCAGAAUAUCCUAAGAAUGUCUAAGCUUGGUUGUUUCUUUUGAUAUAAAAAUUUGUAUGACUGAACUUUUUUCUCUCCAAAACAAUGGGCAAGUACACCAGGGAAAGCUAAGAACAUGAAGGCCGAAACGAAAAAAACAAACACUAUUCUUAUAAAAUACAGCGUGUAUAUAAUAGAGAAGAGUUUAUAUAAAAUGUAGAAAGUAUUUUUUCGUUGUUACUGUUUUUAACGCUACGAAGUGGUUGAUGUCGUUAUAAUAAACCUUAAUGUAAACAAAGUUAAAUCAAUGUUUACAUUUGUUACGUUACCGUUUAAAAUAAUAUUCGAUUCUUCAAUUCGAAAACACUGCAUUGUUAUCAUGCACUGCACGUUUGCGCAUUGGGAAGGUUGCUAUAUGCAAUAGACUAAAUAGCUAAUUUGGUAUGAUGCAUUAGAAUCUGUACGUUGUGGAAACUUUGCAAUAACCUUAUUUGUGUGACUUAUCGAUUUUUUCUAAUGUCUGGUAUACCAUUUUCCCUUUUAUAUUUCGGGUAUGACAAAGCAAGUAUAUAGUUUUAACAGAUUUGUUAGCCACCUUCGAUUUUGUUAAACUUUUUGCAUUUUUAUUUGUUGCUGGACAUGCUUAUAUUUUUAAGCGUUCUGCUUCAGCGGGUACAAAUAUAACGCAGAUUGUGAGCAACUUCAAUCCCAGGGUUUUUUUCUCUUUUAUUGUUAUUUUUUUAUUGCUGCACAUAUUUAUAUUUUUGGACGUUUUGUUCUAGUGGUUAUAAACUAGAAUAAUACAAAUUGUGACUUUUAAAGAUUCA